CUCAUGCCUGCAAUUCCAGCACUUUAGGAAGCCAAGACGGAACAUGCACGCUGGUUUGCAGAUCCCUUGCAGUGACUCUACAGCUCCCAGGAAUCUGAGGUUCACAAGGUGAAACCUACCAGGCCAAACAAUUUAAAAUUGGUUUUGUUUUGAAAAUCCAGUAAGUAUGAUGGCAAUGUCUUGCAGAAAUUCCUCUUUUAGUAUUCCAGUCUGUGGGCUCUGGCAGAAGUAAUAGUCUGCUGCAAACAGAUCACUCUUUUUUGUUUGCAAAGUCUUCGUACCAGCUGAAUCACAGCUUGCUUUUCACUUUUCGUAACACCUUGCAACAUCGCAAAAUAUUUGCUGGAGUUUGUGAAGGGCGGCUGCAGAAUUAGUAAACUGAAAGGAGGCCUUCCUUUACUCCCACCCCUGUCAGCACCUUCUGUUCUAGCAGACCGAAAGGCAGCUUGAGAACUCUGAUUGCUUCUCUAGAUUAUGACAAUUCUUGGCACCAUCGCCCGGGGCAAGAAUGGAAGCAAAGGAAACAUUAUGGAGUUUUGCAGGUGCCAGUACAUAAUAUUGUCACUUUACAAAAUUGAAUUUAUAAAUGACUUCAUGAAGGUGAGUUGCUAUGGUAACCAGCCUUCUCAACUUUUAUAUCUGGAAGUAAGGAUCAUAUGGCCCCUUCUGUUUGGGACUAUGUAUUCUGGGUUUAAUGAAUAACUACCCAUCCUCUAACUUCUAGUUAACUAGGCUCAUGGGAUGCUAGACCAGGAAGCAACAUUAGCAACCAUCUCAUUCCACCUCCUUCAUUCAUAGAUGGGAACUGAGACACAGAGAAGUGGCACUACACAGCUAACGUGUGUCAGCCCUGAGCCUAUGGUUUCUCACUUAGUUUUCUUUUUUUCACAAUGAGUGAUUUUUGCAAGCCAGUUUAGUUAUAUAUUGUUAUUUUUAAACAUUUUAGAUUGAGAGGGUCCAUAUGCAUAUUUGUUAUAUUGUGUGCUGAUGGGGAUUGGGCUUUAUGUUAGUCAGGGUUCUCCAGAGGAAUGUUUUCUUGCUUAGUUUUCUAGUGCUCUUUUCUUUCUGCCACACUGAAUUUCUGAAGGGACGCACCCAGCUUCCACGAGUGGAUAAGAGACAUGGAACCACAGUUAGACACAGGGCCACUGUCACUUCUUACUGAGAUGUUAAAACAAGUCCUGUCCAUGUACUGGUGUGUGAAGUGUCUAAUUUUCUCUAUCAGAAUUAUUACAAAUUCCACAUGACAACAACUUCCACUGAUUCAAAAUGAUGUAUGGGGGGACAGUGUGGGGAGGUGGGGAAUGACCUGAGGAAACGUGAUCUAGUAUUGUGGUUCCAUAGUCUAGCAUACAUAGAUUAGCAAUCUGCAAAGAAUUAGACUGUACCCGAAUUGUAGUGAGCAUAACGUAAACUUCCUUUAGUCACUCAAAAAAAUAUAUCUUUGGUUUUUUAAAGUCUAGUUUCUUGAACAAUAAUUCCUGUUGCAUAAAUACAUGAAAAGGUGCUUCGGAUAACAGCUUUUCUUCCAGUUAAGAAAUCACCAGGCCACAGAAGAUUUAGCUAUUAGGAUUUUCCAUAGAUUCUUGGAGUGAAGAAUGGCAGAAGCUUAAGAGUAUUUAGUACAUUCUUCUAAAAGCAAAACAAAAUGCCAAAUUAAAACUAAACAGUGAAAUUAGAGUGUUCGUUCACUUUAAAGAGAUAUGAAUACAAACACUGGAUCCUCAACAGUCUUUAAACAUUGCAGAUCACCUGGAUAUCUUGUUAAAAUGCAGAUUCUGGUUCAGGAGGUCAGGGAAGAGACCCAAGAUUCUGCAUUGCUAACAAGCUGUCGGGUGGUGUCAAUGCCGCUUGUCCUUGGUCUAUACCUUGAGUAGAAAGGGACUAGUUAACUUGCUGUCUCCUUGAAUGUGUUUUCUGUGAGGGUCAGCCCUGACCACCCCAGUCACAGGAAUCUUUCUGGCCUCCGGAUUCCUAGUGCUCAUAUUGUAUAUAUCGUCCACAAGGUACUUAGGUACUGUUGUAUAUUGGUAUGUCCCAUAUGUGCAUGUCUUCUGUCCCCAACCAGAUUGUAAGCCCAUCUGUGUUUGCUCAGCCCUGUGUGUGCAACAGAGGUGCUGAAUGAAGACCUAUCGAUGAUUGAUUGAUACGUUAAAGAUUAUUUCCUCCUUCCUCAGAAUGCUACACUUCGCUCAUCAAUGGAGCUCAAGAUGUAAAAGUCUGGUUUAAGAGACAUUGAAUCUAUUCUGCCUUUUAUUAUCCCUUUCUUAUAAGUUGACUUUUAAGAAAUCAAUGACUGUGUGGAGAGUUCUAACUGGGUACGUAAUAAAAUAACCAACUGUGGGGGUGGGCAGGGGGCCCUAUCGCACCAGGAAGCUUGUUUAUUGGUUGCAUUAGACCACUAAAGUGGAAGCACUGAGAUAUUCUGGAAAGAACACAGCUUGGGGGCCAACAGAUCUGGGUUCAGAGCCUUACUGCAUCACCUACAAGUUGUGUCUCUUUAGAAAAUUUACUUAAAAUUACUGGGAAUUUAUUUCAUCAUCUGUACAAUGGGCUACUUUUUUCUGUGAUUGUUGUAAGAAUUGUAAUAACUGUUAAAUUGCCUAGCAUGGUGCUCAGUACAAGAUGUUACACUCUCGGCGGAAUCACUUCCAAGUCAAAUUGGAAAUUGACUGUUAGCCACCCAUCACUCUGGUUUGAGAAAGCUGGUGGGAUAGUUUACAUGCAUGGCAUUAGCGCCAUCUAGUGGUGUGUUACUGCCUACGCUUCCUUACGGAAUUCUCUCUUCCAGUACCUUUGAAUGGCCACUUAAUUUAUUCAUUUUAUUCAACAAGCAUUUAUUGAAUGCCUACUGUGUGCCAGACACUGAUUUGGCAGCUGAAGCUACAACAGUGAACAAGAUAGAUCAUGGUCCCUGCCUUUAGGGAGUUUGUGGUCAGGUGGGAAGAUAGAAAUAAAAUAAUUACUGAAAUAAAAUUUGAAUUCAACUUAUGAAAAGCACUAUGAAAGAGUACAGUAGCCUGUGAGUUUAUAAUAAGGCUUCCCUAGGGAAGUGACAUUAAAGGUAAGAAGCAUAGAAUCCAGUCAGGAGACCACAUCAGGCAGGUAACAGCUGCCCAGCGGCACCUCCCUGGACACAUUUACCCCAUCAGGAUCAGGAACCUGCCAGUCUGUCAGGAGCUCCCAUCUUGAACUGAGGCCUGUUUCAUCAAUCAUCUAAUGUCUAUCACAUCCCACUCUGUGCAAGUCACUUUACGUACGCCACUGCGGACUUUCUCAUGUUAUCCUUUUACAGGCGAUGUGCAAUGAGGUUAAGUAACUUAUACAAGGACAUAAAACGGCAUGUCAGAGUCAAGAUUCACACCAGAUCUUUCUGCUCACAGCGCCCAUGCUCUUUCCUCUACUGAAGCUGUCUCCCAGAUGCCAAGCCCAGAUCUCUUUAUUCUGCAUUAUGCUGCUUGCCUUGACAGAAAGGAAACCAUUAGAAGUGCUUGGGGAGAACGAAAAUGCAGAGGGAGGGCGGGAAAAUUAAAUAACAGCCCAGUGGGUCAUGUGUGAAGGGCAGAGAGGAAACUGCUGACUUGGCUAGUUAUGUUCUUCUGGUGUGAUUUUAGGAAAGUAAACCCAAGAGAUCCCUUUCAUCAGGAAAGAGAGUAUCCCUAAUAAUGUUGCUUAUACUCUUGUGGUUUAAAAUGUGUUGCAGCUGCUGCUAAAUUGAAAUGAUUUGGGGGAUCAUUUGGAGAAGAGAGGUUAUCCUCUGGAAAUCUAUAGGAAGUUGCAAGGAUUAAUAACCACUAAGGAGCAGAACAUUGCUGGGUCAGAAAAUAGCUGCAGGACUUAGAGGUUUUCUGCAACACAGGACUUUCAGCUUCAAAACUGGGACAUUCUCAUGGCAAACUAUGGCGAUUGGUCACCUGGCAGUGAGCCAGACUGGGAGGAUCUGAUGUACCCAUGGAAGUUAGGCCGAAACACUUAUUGAAAUCUGGGGUCAAUUUGAGGCCUUGGCCACAGACCAAUGCAGAAAAGGUGGGCAAAGCGUGGUACAACGAGUACCUUGGUACUCAGUCCCUAGAUUACCAACCUAGAGCACCUGCUGUAGGCCUUGCAUGCAGAAUUAGUUGGCCCCAGUUCUGAGGGAGGGCUCAGGCAGAGGACAAGAAUGAUCACAGAAUCAGGCCACUCUGUGCUUCAGCUUCCUUAUCUGCAAAAUUGGAUAAAUAGCAGCACUUUGUGCCUAAAACUGCAUGUGAGAUCUGUUAGUUAAUAUGUGUAAAGUGCUCAGAAUGGUGCCUGGUCCAUAUGAAUAUAGGAAGUAUCACCAUGGAAUUCUCAGGAAGAGAAACAGGUGUGUGGCCCUGGCUGGAUCAUGUCUAUGAUAGCUCAGUUUUCCAUCUGUAAAAUGAAAAUCAAAGUCCCUGCCAAAGCUUUCAGAAGAAACAGAACAAGACACAGUCAACAAGGAAAGAAGUCACAGAUAGUAGGUAGGAACUUGUGCUCUGAAAUCAAACCCCCUGGAUUACAUCCAGCUCUGCCUCUUAGAUGUUCAUUUAUUUAUCUGCCAUACCCCAGCCACCACCGCAAGACCCAAGAAACCAGGGUUGAAAUGCCAGGCACCAAAGCUGCUGCAGCCAUCAUCCAAACCCUCCACACAGACCAGUCACUGGCCCCAGUCACUGGCCCAAGGCAGGGUGGAGCAUCCAGACAAGGUGGGGAAUGGAAUUUGCCCAAUAAUGGAUGCCAAUGAUUUGAGGAAGACAGCAGCCAAGGGAGAAAUGGAAAUGCAAACCAGGUACAAACACCAAUGGGCCCGGCGCUGUCCUGAGCACUUUAUGCAUUAGUUCAUCUAGUUCUCCUGGCAGUCUUAUGAAGUAGGCACUGUUAUUCACCCCAUUUUACAGAUGAAGAGACUGGGGCGCACAGUGGCUAUAACUUGCUCAACUCACAGAGCGAGCCAGAACUCUGGGCAAGUUUGUUGACAUUUCUAGUCCCUAGUUCCUCUCAAAAGAAUGAGGGUAAUAAGUUAUGACAUCUCCUCAUAGAUUUGUUAUGCAGAUUAGAUGGGAUAGUCUAUACACAGCACUUAGCAAAGGAUCAGAAACAUUUUAAGCACUCAUACUUAAACCCAAAGUCACUCACUAGGUAAUUGGCGUGAUAAGAUACAUGGGCUAUAAUUACCAAAAAUAUAGCUGGUAAUUUAAGAAAAUGGCCAAAUGUGCAAGGUAGUAAAAGUCUAGGGUGGGGCAGGGGACAUAAAAUACCAUAGGAACUGAGGAACAGGGGGUCAGGUCUGAAGAAUCUGUUUUGCAUGAGACACUUUGUAGGCCUUUGGAGAGAAAUUGUGAGGAGGACUUGAAGGACGGACAGUUGGCCCCCAAACUCCAGGCUUUCACUCCCUGAACUAAGAGGGACCUUGAGCAAGCCUUCACCUCUGGGAAGAAGCCCUCAGCAGCCCAGAUAGGAGAGCUGAGGUGUCUGGAAAAGCCCACACCGAGGCCCAGGGCUGGGCCAGUUAUGGAAGGCCAUCAGUGCAGCCCCGUCUUGACUCCUGCUGCAGAAAGACUGGGCAGGGCCGCAGCUCCAGCCCAUGUUCCAGAUUUCUGCCAUGACCACCCUCCUGCGUGCCAGCUUGAAACCACUGUUUGUUGACAUGAUCUCCCUGACUUCAUCCAUUUAGAUCAUCUUUGGCUCACUGACCUCAGCCCACUCCCUUCACCUGCUCUAUUAUUUUAUUGUGACCCCUGAUUCCAGGCAAGACAUUCCAUUCACUCCAUCAGCCCCAAUCUGGGAACCUUGUCAGCAAAGAGGAUUGGCCAGGGAUGAGGAAUUGUGGUGAGGUGAAAGGAAUAUCUCUGAUAAGAGAUGUAGCAAUGCUACUCACUAAUAGCUCUAGAUUCUUGGCAAAUGCCUAGGAACUCACCCCACAUUUUUCAGCAGAGGGUGUAUUAGCUGCAUUUUGGAAACCUAUUAAGAGUUGUAAUUAGCAGCAGGGAGAGAACAAGAACUCUUCUCUAGGGCAAGUGAUAACAGCAGUAAGCAUUGAGUGGACAGUGAUCAUCCAGCCAAGCCAUGAUACCUUUCCUCCUCUUCCACCUCUUAAAAAGAGACUGGAGCUGUGCUCUCAGGCUCAGGGAAUUCUACCUGACUGUACUGCUUUGCCUCCAGAUGGAUUCCCUCUCCUGAGCCCUUUCAGGUAGACGGCUGCAUUGGACAGUACCUGGUUUGCAUUUCCAUUUCUCCCUUGGCUGUUGCCUUCCUCAAAUCACUGGCAUCCAUUAUCUGGCAAAUUCCAUUCCCCUCUUGUCUGGAUGCUACACCCUGCCUUGGGCCAGUGCCUAGCGGCCCCUGGCCUGUGUGGAGGGUUUGGAUGAUGGCUGCAGCAGCCUUGGUGCCUUGCAUUUCAACCCUGGUUUCUUGGGUCUUGAGGUUGUAGCUGGGAUGUGGCAGGUGGAACCCAACAAGGAGAUUUACCUCCAAUGGUAAGGAGGGGUUUCUGUGCGAGGAAAUGAGCACCUGGGAACCCAGGCGGCCAAAGGUGAUUGAAUUGUUCCGCACAAACUGGGUUACCCCUCAGGGCUGAUGUGGCCUGGAGAGACACCCCUAAAGUCAUCAUGUGCCUCUAAGAUUUCGCUAGGAAAGUUUCCAAGAAAAGGCUAGAUUUCCAUUGGGCUUGAAAGGUGAGCCACCCACACUGGGCGCUCAGGUCUGCAUUUCUGCUCCAGUGUUCCCUCAGUCCAAUUUUACACAGCAGUAACACCCUCUUCCCCUCAUGUUCUGUUGUGUUCUGCAGAUCCUACAGGGGAACAUCAUGAUAAUGAAACCUUUGUGUUUUCCAUGGCUGCUACAAAAAGACCAGAUCAAACAUUUUAUGACACUUUUGUUUUUGUGUUUCUGUAUGCUGCAUGUGAAAAUAUCUAUUACACAAAUCAAGCACUCUGCUUUCCAUUGCCAAGCAUCUUUGGCACAAGAGCUGUAAUAAGAAGUGUAAUGAACAUAAAACAGUUUUUAGAAUCACUCCUUUGGUAGCUGGUAUAUGAAGCUGACAAGGCCCCCUCUGCCAAAGCUGCAGAAGGUCGGGCAUAUCCUUCCCUUAGCUCAUAUGGCUGCAGAGGAAGGAGGUGUCUUUCUUUGGGCUUCAUCGCCAGGCAACCCACACACUUUGAUGCUCACCUGUCUGCCUUGGGGGACUGGAGUUGAAUGACUGCUUGUUUUGCUCCUGGGAUCUGUGGGCUCCACAGUCGUCCCAGGCCUCCUUGCUUAAUCGGACUCCCACCCAUGGCAUCUGAGUAGUUCCUCUUCUGGUCCUGUCACUAUCAUCUCCCUUUCUCUCUCUCAAGGCCUGUCCUUCUGUAGUACAUCUUUUUAAUAACUGGUAAGAGUCUCCUCCGACCUUCCCUUUGGAGACCUUUUCUCUUCAGUCAAUCCCCGCCCCACCCAAUCCCAUCCCUUGUUCUCAGCGUCCUGCUCACAAUCCCUUUUACUAUGCCACUGACUUACCCAGACUGGCUAGGACAUCUCUAUUUGCAUUGCAUUGCAAUAUGGACUGAGGUGAGCUUGCCUAUGAAAUCAGCUGUGAACUUAUUUUUUGUUAACUGUGAUUUUAAAGGGCAGGGAGGAGAAAAUGAAUACUGAGGGAAGGAAAGGAGACCUAACAUUUAUUGAGUCCUUGGAGUUCUUGAGAUAGAUGCCUCAUACACGUUAACUUAUGCAUCCUCACAAUGAUCUUGGGAGGUGUUAUUUACUCCAUUUUACAGAGGAGGAAAUGGAGGUUAAAUCACUUACACAGGCUGGGCACGGUGACUCACGCCUGUAAUCCCAGCACUCUGGGAAGCCAAGGCAGGAGGAUUGCUUGAGCCCAGGGGUUUGAGACCAGCCUGCCUCUACAAAAAAAUAAUAAGUUUUUAAAAAUCACUGCCCAAAGUUCCAAAGCUAGUCAACAAAGAAACCGGUUACAAAUUUGCUCUUCAUUUAGUGUAAAAAUCAAUGAAACUUUUCUGAAUGUUUCAGUCUUUAAAAAAAAAAAAAA
rnacentral:lncRNA from 1 species